UACGGAGGGUGCGAGCGUUGUCCGGAAUCAUUGGGCGUAAAGGGCGCGUAGGUGGCCCGGUCAGUCUUUGGUGAAAGCGCGGGGCUCAACCCUGCGUCGGCCAGGGAUACUGCCGCGGCUGGAGCACUGUAGAGGCAGGCGGAAUUCCGGGUGUAGCGGUGGAAUGCGUAGAGAUCCGGAAGAACACCGGUGGCGAAGGCGGCCUGCUGGGACAUGGCUGACGCUGAGGCGCGACAGCGUGGGGAGCAAACAGG
rnacentral:rRNA from 1 species